AUGGAGGAAGAGGGCAACAACAUCAUGGAGGAAGAGGGGGCGACAGUGAUCCUAGGUUGUGCGUGGUGGCACUGCUCUGCACAGUGGCGCCAGAGCCGGGAGGCCGGCCGGGAGGAGGAAGGUGGUAGUGCGGGGUGGCGUGCGCAGCUCUCACGCCGGCGGUGGGAAAGGAGGAAGGCCACGACAACAGAGAAAGAAGAUUCCACUUGGGCACAUCGCUGCUAUUCUGUUGGGGCGUCAGUACGGUGCGGCUGGAUGUCGCGAUCGUGCUUGCAGUCCGGUGGCACAAGGCUCGUGGUCGGAUGUGCAAUGCAGUGCAGUGCUAUUCACCCUUCCGCAAUGCAGUUCGCCGGCAGAUGUGUUGGCCCAUCGAAGAUCAACUGCACCCCCUCCCCCGACGGUGCCAUGCAGUCCAGUACGUGGGUGCACGCAGCACGCCCCACCGGUGCCGUGCAGUCCAAAGUGUGGGUGCAAGCAGCACACCACCCAUUCCCAAGCCCAUCUCUCUCCCUCCCCGCACACGCGCCAAGUGCUCUCUAUUUCUCACAAGUCGCUACAAUGGCGGACCAGAAGCUCGCCAAGCUGCGCGAGGCCGUCGCCUGA
rnacentral:rRNA from 1 species